rnacentral:rRNA from 1 species
UUCUCCGCGGGGGGGAUGACGCGGAGGUCAUUGCUAUUGGGGUCCGAUUUAGCCAUGCUAGUUGCACGAGUUCAUACUCGUGGCGAAAAGCUCAGUAACACGUGGCCAACUUACCCUACAGAGAACGAUAACCUCGGGAAACUGAGGCUAAUAGUUCAUACGGGAGUCAUGCUGGAAUGCCGACUCCCCGAAACGCUCAGGCGCUGUAGGAUGUGGCUGCGGCCGAUUAGGUAGACGGUGGGGUAACGGCCCACCGUGCCGAUAAUCGGUACGGGUUGUGAGAGCAAGAGCCCGGAGACGGAAUCUGAGACAAGAUUCCGGGCCCUACGGGGCGCAGCAGGCGCGAAACCUUUACACUGCACGCAAGUGCGAUAAGGGGACCCCAAGUGCGAGGGCAUAUAGUCCUCGCUUUUCACGACUGUAAGGCGGUCGUGGAAUAAGAGCUGGGCAAGACCGGUGCCAGCCGCCGCGGUAAUACCGGCAGCUCAAGUGAUGACCGAUAUUAUUGGGCCUAAAGCGUCCGUAGCCGGCCACGAAGGUUCAUCGGGAAAUCCGCCAGCUCAACUGGGGGGCGUCGGGUGAAAACCACGUGGCUUGGGACCGGAAGGCUCGAGGGGUACGUCCGGGGUAGGAGUGAAAUCCCGUAAUCCUGGACGGACCACCGAUGGCGAAAGCACCUCGAGAAGACGGAUCCGACGGUGAGGGACGAAAGCUAGGGUCUCGAACCGGAUUAGAUACCCGGGUAGUCCUAGCUGUAAACGAUGCUCGCUAGGUGUGACACAGGCUACGAGCCUUGUGUUGUGCCGUAGGGAAAGCCGAGAAGCGAGCCGCCUGGGAAGUACGUCCGCAAGGAUGAAACUUGAAAGGAAUUGGCGGGGGAGCACUACAACCGGAGGAGCCUGCUGUUAAUGAUCACCCACCCCCCCGCCAGAAA